CGGUACAUAGUAUGUCUAGAAAACAAGAAAUGUAGCUGUGGACAAUUCCAACUUGAUGAACUUCCAUGUGCCCAUGCUUUGGCAGCAUUAAGGCAUAGGAAUGAAAGGCCUGUCAACUAUUGCUCUCCGUAUUACACAACGAAUAGCCUUCUUCUUACCUACGAAAUGCCAGUAAAUCCUCUUCCUGAUGAAGCCAAAUGGGAUG
rnacentral:lncRNA from 1 species